AAUUAAUUAAACUGCAUUAAGGUUCAAAUUUGUCUUGCAGGGUCAAUAACAAUCAGUCAUCUGUCAGACAGAAUUCAAGACUCUUUCUCCAGGCCGACUAAUUGUCUCCAGUGCAAAUGAUCCUCUGUCAUCACACUCCCUGAGGACACUCCAGAGUAGCAGGUCUACAUGUUCUGUUAAGAGACUGGAUUCUGAGAGCGAGAUCCUGUGAAGUGUUCAUCAAAGCUGAAGAGAAGAACUGGAUCUGUGUUCAGCAACUGUCCGGAGUUGGUGGAUGUUCUGUCCGAGCCUGAUUAAAAGAGUGAUAAACA